CAGUCGCCGCGGUAAAACGUAGGUGGCAAGCGUUGUCCGGAUUUAUUGGGCGUAAAGCGAGCGCAGGCGGUUUCUUAAGUCUGAUGUGAAAGCCCCCGGCUCAACCGGGGAGGGUCAUUGGAAACUGGGAAACUUGAGUGCAGAAGAGGAGAGUGGAAUUCCAUGUGUAGCGGUGAAAUGCGUAGAUAUAUGGAGGAACACCAGUGGCGAAGGCGGCUCUCUGGUCUGUAACUGACGCUGAGGCUCGAAAGCGUGGGGAGCAAACAGGAUUAGAUACCCCAGUAGUCCCUGUCUCUUAUAC
rnacentral:rRNA from 1 species